AGUCAUUUUGGACCCAAAAAUGGAUUUUUAGAUUUAAACGUAUUUAGAUAGCUUAUCCAUUUAUUUACUAGAAUAGAAUGUUCAAUUUUCUGAAAUAUUGCUUUAAAUUAUACUUUUUUUCAUUUUUAGGGUGCUUAUUAAUCAAGAUUUGAUUGAAAAACGUAAAAAUCCCCCAUAGUUACGCCUAUAAUAACUCUUUUGCAUAGCAAAUACUCUGGUCAUAUUUGGUAUCAAAUUGUUCGGCUUCAAAAGCACUUUUAAAAUUUGGCAACACUUCCUAAUCUAUUAUAAGAAGUUUUUAGCUAAAUUUAGAAACUUGCGUACUCUAUUUGGUAAGUUUUUCGUAUAAUUAUAGCCCACUCAUAAAUACUGAACGCUGAUUGGUUGCUUACCGGAAUACCCAUAGUGACUGUGUAUACGUCAGCUUAUCGAAAAUAGAAAAACAAACAUGCUGCCGUUUUCUCGUUGCAAACAAAACAGUUUCAGUAUCAUAAAAUAAACGUUUUUGUAUGUUUUAUUCUUGCUAUUCGGAAAUCUUCAUCAUGUUUGAAGUACUACUGGUAGCAGAAUGAAAUCCCUGCCUCCAACAUAAUACAAAGAUUGGUUUGAAUCUCACCAAGUUAAUUGUGAUAUCAACUAGAUCUAUUCUAUAAAGGAUUCAAGCAAUGGUGGCGACGCAUUCCGCUGAAAUAUUCUGGAAGAUAUUCAUCAACGAGUUUAACUGCGAUACACCACAGUGUUAUCCAAAUCUUUUAACAGAGUGUGUGGGAUUUAACCUUUUGAAGAUAUAAAAGUAACUUAAGAACAGUGCUACUCAAUUUACCAAAGGCUAUCAGAACAAGCAAAUUAUACAACGAUGUAAAUUUGGGGAAACUCAAAAUACGAUUACGUCGAUUCGCUCAUGAACUAGAAACUUUUGGACCAAAAUCUAGAUUUACUAAUCCAGAAAAAGAAAACUGUUCUAUUUUAGCUGCUGUGGGACAACUUAAUGUAAAUUUUUCUUUUGUCAGUGUAAUUAAAACUUUUUUUCAAUUAUUAGGCCAGCAAGAAAAACCAUCCACUUAGAUUAUCAAGCUUUCAGAAAAUCUUAAGAAAUGCAAUUUUAAAAAGUUAUAAAAAGAUUACUGUUGUUGAGAAAAGAUGCUAAAGCACACAUAGAAUUUCAGUUGAUAGAAGCAAAAGGAGUUUGUUAAUAUUCUGGAAAGUUUUAAAUCCAUUGUUUACAUUUUGAAUUUUUAGCUAUUUUUCUCAUAUUGCUAUCGACUUAUAUGAUCAUCUUAAAAGUACUAUAACUUAAAAACUUAUUGAUGAAAUGAUGUCAAAUUUUUUACAUUAUAAGACUAUAUUUAGUUAUCAAAGUGUGCAGUGUUAUUUAUUCAAAUAUAGUGAUUUUACAUAGUUUGACAAAUAAAUUUUAGUUUUAAAUCAA